AUGCCCUGACGGUGUGGCGCUUCU
rnacentral:misc_RNA from 1 species